UCGGGAAUUUUGGGCAAUGGGGGAAACCCUGACCCAGCAACGCCGCGUGAAGGAUGAAGUAUUUCGGUAUGUAAACUUCGAAAGAAUAGGAAGAAUAAAUGACGGUACUAUUUAUAAGGUCCGGCUAACUACGUGCCAGCAGCCGCGGUAAUACGUAGGGUGCAAGCGUUAAUCGGAAUUACUGGGCGUAAAGCGUGCGCAGGCGGUUCGGAAAGAAAGAUGUGAAAUCCCAGAGCUUAACUUUGGAACUGCAUUUUUAACUACCGGGCUAGAGUGUGUCAGAGGGAGGUGGAAUUCCGCGUGUAGCAGUGAAAUGCGUAGAUAUGCGGAGGAACACCGAUGGCGAAGGCAGCCUCCUGGGAUAACACUGACGCUCAUGCACGAAAGCGUGGGGAGCAAACAGGAUUAGAUACCCUUGUAGUCCCUGAGCGGGCUGGCAAGGCGCAU
rnacentral:rRNA from 1 species